rnacentral:lncRNA from 1 species
UGUUCAUUUAUAUUUUACACUUUGGUUAGCGCAGUUACAGAGAGAACUUACAGAAAAACUAGAAUGGGCACUUGGUAGAGCACAAAAACUUUACUUAAAAUCCUAUUCCCUAACAAUUAACAAUAAUUUCAGGUGGACUUGAAGAUGUGAAUUGUGUCAAAUAAGGAAAAGAUUAAUGUGAAACUAAUAUCCUU